CCCCCCACUUUCGAGUUUGAAUUUCAAGCGAAGGAAGUACACAGAGAGAAAGAUGGGUACAGCCAGAACCGUCUCUUCGAAUCCUACGCACUGCCGCCUCCAGAUAUUUUGGCAUUAAAUGAGCGCGUGCCGGAGUCUUUUCGAAUUGGAGCGGUAUGAGGGGACGCUUCGAAAAUCUCGUAGGUACACUGGCCUAGGUACGGCGCAAUUAUGGUUCUGCCAACCGUCAGCCGCCUUUAGCCGUCUGCCACGGGGAGUGGGACACGCGUCGGAUGCGGACUGGCCUGGGGGGAUUCGCGAUCAUUAUGGCGCCGGAUCCCAGGGUCUAUUUAAACCCGUCCUCCCCCCUUCAGGUGUCCUACUCCAUUUCUGAUUUUUCGCUGGCGUCUGUCUUCUCUUCGAGAGCCUUGCUCUAGCGAUCGUCUUCUCGAGCCGUAGGCGCCUCCCGUUUCUCGUCCCCCAGGUCCCUCAGAGCAACAUAGGUUAGUGCCAAUCCUCUUCUCUCCGCCUAGGGGCUUCUCCUCCCUUCAUUACUUUUGUACCUCCCUCCGAGUUGGCCUUCAGCGUCUCGUUCUCCUUUCGGUCUGCCUUUUUAGGAUCCUUUAGGUUCUCCCUCCGAAACUGCUCAAAAUAUCUUCCGACUCUUCCGCUCCCGUUAGUUCUGAGAGUUCUUCUGCUUCGAACCCCCAGGUCCCUGUCUCUGCGGACGAACCCGUGUCCGGGGCAGGGCCUCGCCCGAUUUUUGCACCGGGCGCCAUUCCA
rnacentral:lncRNA from 1 species